AACUCACUCCAAUCAGACUUCAACCAGUAAGUAAGCAUCUAGUAUCGGAGUAAGCAUCUAGUACUAAGAUCAGAGCUAAUAGGCGAACACAGGACUUGAAAGAAGAGAACUAACCCUCGAACAAAGGACUUAGUAGGAGGCGAGGAAGCAAUAAGUAUGGAAAUCCAGAAUGAAACCACUAUAGCAUCUAGUUUACUUACCGCAAUUAGUACAUCCCUAGUUUCCCUUGUUGCAUCCCUAGUUUCAUCAGUGUUUGAUGCCCGAGUUAGAUGAGCUGGAGAACCAAGUCCUAAUUAAUAGCGGAGGAGCGUUGCCCGGUGAAAUGAAUUGUAGCCCGAGUUAGAUUAGCUAGUUGCCGGAGUUCGGGAAGUAGAGAAGAGUUGCUAGUAGGCCCAAGUGAGUCUUAUUCUGUUAUUAAGGAUGAAAUGGGGCAAGAGUGAAAUGAGCAUUAAGUUGAAGGGUGAGAUUAGAGUCCUGCUCCUGCUCGAGUGGAAUACCGAGUUCAGUAACUACCCAACCAUAGGCUCUGAACCAAAACAACUGAUUUCUAGUUGCGCGCGGGAAGUUAUUGGACUGAGCCCGAGUUAGAUGAGAAAGAGUUCAAAGAGCCAGGGGUAUUCUUGCCAGCAGGGGUAAAUUCAUUGAAUCUAGAUUGUCUGCUUGAAUGCAAAGUAGCGUUUUAUAGGUAUUGUUGCUAUAGGGGUAGAUGAGAAAGAGUCCAAAGAGCCAGAGGAGAGCACACCCGGAGUUGUUUGUCGACUUGGCCCUUCAGUUCGACGAGUAUCUCUGUGUUCGAGUGUUGGUAUUGCGGUGCUUAAUAAUAGGGCAGAAGUCAAGUAUCCAGUUUCCAGAUAUAUCGUAUGCUUGAGCGGUGAGAGGACAAGAUAGGGGCUUCAAAUUCACUAUAACAGCACUUAUUGAGUUCUCUGGUCAAUCACAUUCAAAACUGAUACUUAUUAGAAAUACAGCAUUUCUA
rnacentral:lncRNA from 1 species